CCUACGGGAGGCAACAGUAGGGAAUAUUGCUCAAUGGGGGAAACCCUGAAGCAGCAACGCCGCGUGGAGGAUGAAGGUUUUCGGAUUGUAAACUCCUUUUGUUAGAGAAGAUAAUGACGGUAUCUAACGAAUAAGCACCGGCUAACUCCGUGCCAGCAGCCGCGGUAAUACGGAGGGUGCAAGCGUUACUCGGAAUCACUGGGCGUAAAGAGCGCGUAGGCGGGAUAGCAAGUCAGAUGUGAAAUCCUAUGGCUUAACCAUAGAACUGCAUUGGAAACUGUUAUUCUAGAGUAUGGGGGAGGUAGGUGGAAUUCUUGGUGUAGGGGUAAAAUCCGUAGAGAUCAAGAGGAAUACUCAUUGCGAAGGCGACCUGCUAGAACAUAACUGACGCUGAUGCGCGAAAGCGUGGGGAGCGAACAGGAUUAGAUACCCCAGGAGUC
rnacentral:rRNA from 1 species